CACCGACCGUGUGGCGGCUUCUCGGGUAAGCUAGUAUGCUAUCAAAUGUUUGUCGUUCAUCGCCGUUUCUCACGACGGACGCCUUGUAUGUUUGUUGCAGGAUUCAAGGCGAGUUAAUAAAUGCAGGCGCCCCCGACCGUGUGGCGGUUUCUCGGAUGGCGCCCGCCCGCCCGCAACAAACAUUUGCGAGCGUGAUUUUCUCCCGUUUUGGACGACUGCUCGAUUCAUGCCGCCAUUUUUGACGCUCAUAAAGGCCUCCCAGCCAGCACCCUUCUAUACAAAGCAAGCAGGAGGCUCCUGCGCCAUCUCAGUGAUGUUGAGGAUACUGAGGAAGAGUAGUCCCAAAUCAGGUGAAAGCCCGUUGGUGUAAAGUUUCAGCUGACUGUAAAUGUGAUCACUUUUACCAAUUGCACCAUUUGUACUUUUCAAGGUUUUUUUUGUAUGAAACCAGUGAGCAGGUUGAC